GUCCUGCAGGGCUGAGUGGGUGUGCUUCCUGUCAGCCGCGGCGUCUCUUCCCCGAGGCGAGCGGCCCAUACAGGUGCUGCUCAGCUAGCUUCUGCAACUCGCAGAGCCAGUCUCCAUGGGAACUCGCGUGCGGGGGAGGGGGGGCGCGCCUUCCCUCCUGCUGCCGCUGCUACCGGGUCUGCCCCAGCAUGGUGCGCUCUCCGCGAUACGCCGCUCCUUUCCCCUCGCCCCCACCUUCUACCAAUCCGGAGAGGAGCUUCGGAGCCCAGCCAUGGUUUCUUGGAGAUUUUGGUUAUCCCGUGCCAUCGAAUAUAAAAAGGGAUUUAUAAAGCUGAGGAGCCCACAGAAAAUUCAACUCAGAUUAUCUGCAGAAGGAAUGGACUUCACAUCUCUAUAAAAAGAAGCUAAGAGUUUGAGGGUUUAAGUUCAGAUGGUCAGAUAUUAAAGGGAUUAAUAACAUUAUAAAUGGUGAUGAGAGAAAUAAGAAUAUUAAGUGCCCUUCAAAACUGUAGAAUUUGAAAGAUUACAGUGAAAGAUUAAUGAAAAAUAGUAUUCUUGAGACAAACAGAAGUUCUUAAGAAAGCAAAGAAUUUGUGAAAAUGAGUGAGAUGAUGUUAUGAUGGUCACUUGUAUAAAUGGACUAAAUUAUGUAGAUCAGCUGUUUAUUCCAAUAAUUUUAUUCCCAAAUGUAUCACAGUUAUUCUUAAUGGGCAAUUAUGAAUCUGAGCUGUAUGGUUUGGCUCCAUAGUCAUUACAAUCUUAUUGGAUUUUAUUUUGCCUUCCUAAUGGUAUAAUAGCAUUUUAUCCAUGCCUGAUUCUAAUAAAUUUUUGCAAAGGAAAUUUUCAAGAUGAAAUGUUAUCCUUAUCAAGAAUUAUUUGGAAAUAUGAAAUCUGAAAGACUUUCAAACUUCUAAAAAUAGGUCCAAGGAUAAUUUUAUUAACAUGAAUUUAAUUAAAGAAUGAUGUCUUGUUUUUAUUCCUGGAAUUCUAAAUAUGGGGUUCUCAAUCAUCCAGGUGCUUUUUUCAAAAGGCAACCAGAGAAGCUUUUUGGAUGAGAAGUGAAACGUUUUCAAAGAAAAAAAACCCAAGAAAGUCCAGUUGCCUUUUGCAAAAGCAUCUUUGGGACUUCCUGGAAAAAUAGCUGGGCUACAUUAAAGAUGUCAAUGUAAUAGCCGUAUCAGAGUCUACAAGAGUUCUAAAUAUUUUUUUUUUAAUGAGGGGAAGACUGGGUAUAAAAUAUAACCAAAUAGCUAUAUUAUUAUUUUUCUCUGAAAUCAAGGGGAGAAUACAUAUGAAUGAAGGUGAAUAUAGGUGUCUCAGGACAAUACUGCAGGAUCCAAUCUGGAUCAAUCAUUGGGACCAGAAGUUUUGUCUUCCGAGCUUUUGAACUCAUGGUGGAGCACAUCUUCAGGGACUUGGCACACCCUGCCAUACAUCAAAAACGUUUCAGAAGCUGCACAAUGCAGCUUCUGAGAUCUGCAAGUGGGCAUCACACACCACAUGGAGGCUACCAUACAAGGACAAAUUAUGUGUUGUAAAAAUUGGUUGGAGGUGGGAGAUACUUCCAAUGUAAUCUACCAAAUUCCCUGCAUGUAUUGUCCCUGGGACUAUGUAGGACAGAUGUGGAGGAAGCUAACUACCAGAUUGCAAGAACACAAAUGAGCAGUCAGACAAGAAGACCCAAACUCAUUGGAACUGGAACUUCCAAAUGCAAAACAUGAGUUUUAUUGCUGAAUUACUGUUCAAGGAAAUAUAUCUAUGGCCUAACUGAAAUUACAAUUGGUUAAGAAUUUAGUAGAUACAAUAAUCGUGUUCACUGCUUGAGCUUCUGUAGAAUAAACAUGUGAACUCUAAGAUAUAGAGUUACAAAUCUCCAAUAAAAUUUGCCUAAUUA